rnacentral:rRNA from 1 species
UACGGAGGGUGCAAGCGUUAAUCGGAUUUACUGGGCGUAAAGCGCACGUAGGUGGUUUGUUAGGUCGGAUGUGAAAUCCCCGGGCUCAACCUGGGAGCGGCAUUCGAUACUGGCAAACUGGAGUACGAGAGAGGGGGGUGGAAUUCCAGGUGUAGCGGUGAAAUGCGUAGAUAUCUGGAGGAACACCGAUGGCGAAGGCAAUCCCCUGGGCCUGCACUGACGCUCAUGCACGAAAGCGUGGGGAGCAAACAGGAUUAGAAACCCUGGUAGU